rnacentral:rRNA from 1 species
GAUGAACGCUGGCGGCGUGCCUAAUACAUGCAAGUCGAGCGAACGGACGAGAAGCUUGCUUCUCUGCUGUUAGCGGCGGACGGGUGAGUAACACGUGGAUAACCUACCUAUAAGACGGGGAUAACUUCGGGAAACCGGAGCUAAUACCGGAUAAUAUUUUGAACCGCAUGGUUCAAAGGUAAAAGACGGUCUUGCUGUCACUUAUAGAUGGAUCCGCGCUGCAUUAGCUAGUUGGUAAGGUAACGAGUUACCAAGGCAACGAUGCACAGCCGACCUGAGAGAGUGAUAGGCCACCCGAGAAGGUAACCGGCGUCAAGGGUCCUGCGGGAGGCCGCAGAAGGGAAUCUUACGCAAUGGUGGAAAACCUGACAGAGCAACGGGGCGGGAGUGAUAGAAGUCUUCGGAUCGUGAAGCUCUGUUAUGAGGGAAGAACAUAUGUGUAAGGAACUGUGCAGAUAGUGACGGUACUUAGUAAGAAAGCCACGGCUAACUACGUG